GUAGGUGGCAAGCGUUGUCCGGAAUUAUUGGGCGUAAAGCGCGCGCAGGCGGUUCUUUAAGUCUGAUGUGAAAGCCCACGGGCUCAACCGUGGAGGGUCAUUGGAAACUGGAGAACUUGAGUACAGAAGAGGAAAGCGGAAUUCCACGUGUAGCGGUGAAAUGCGUAGAGAUGUGGAGGAACACCAGUGGCGAAGGCGGCUUUCUGGUCUGUAACUGACGCUGAGGCGCGAAAGCGUGGGGAGCAAACAGGAUUAGAUACCCUGGUAGUCCACGCCGUAAACGAUGAGUGCUAAGUGUUAGGGGGUUCCGCCCCUUAGUGCUGCAGCUAACGCAUUAAGCACUCCGCCUGGGGAGUACGGCCACAAGGCUG
rnacentral:rRNA from 1 species